rnacentral:rRNA from 1 species
AUUGAACGCUGGCGGCAUGCCUUACACAUGCAAGUCGAACGGCAGCACGGGAGCAAUCCUGGUGGCGAGUGGCGAACGGGUGAGUAAAGUAUCGGAACGUGCCCAGUCGUGGGGGAUAACGUAGCGAAAGUUGUGCUAAUACCGCAUACGUACUGAGGUAGAAAGUGGGGGACCUUCGGGCCUCACGCUAUUCGAGCGGCCGACGUCUGAUUAGCUAGUAGGUGAGGUAAAGGCUCACCUAGGCGACGAUCAGUAGCGGGUCUGAGAGGAUGAUCCGCCACACUGGGACUGAGACACGGCCCAGACUCCUACGGGAGGCAGCAGUGGGGAAUUUUGGACAAUGGGCGAAAGCCUGAUCCAGCCAUGCCGCGUGUCUGAAGAAGGCCUUCGGGUUGUAAAGGACUUUUGUCAGGGAGGAAAUCCCUAGUGCUAAUAACACUGGGGGAUGACAGUACCUGAAGAAUAAGCACCGGCUAACUACGUGCCAGCCGCCGCAGUAAUAC